UCCGGAGGGUGCAAUCGUUAAUCGGAAUUACUGGGCGUAAAGGGUCUGUAGGCGGAUUAUUAAGUCGGAUGUGAAAUCCCCGGGCUCAACCUGGGAACGGCAUUCGAUACUGGUAGUCUAGAGUGUGCAAGAGGAUGGGGGAAUUCCUGGUGUAGCAGUGAAAUGCGUAGAUAUCAGGAGGAACAUCAAUGGCGAAGGCACCUUUCUGGGGCAACACUGACGCUGAGAGACGAAAGCGUGGGGAGCAAACAGG
rnacentral:rRNA from 1 species